UACGUAGGUGGCUAGCGUUGUCCGGAUUUACUGGGCGUAAAGAGCGCGCAGGCGGUCGUUCAAGUCGAGUGUGAAAGCCCCCGGCUCAACUGGGGAGGGUCACUCGAUACUGAUCGACUCGAAGGCAGGAGAGGGUAGUGGAAUUCCCGGUGUAGUGGUGAAAUGCGUAGAUAUCGGGAGGAACACCAGUGGCGAAGGCGACUACCUGGCCUGUUCUUGACGCUGAGGCGCGAAAGCUAGGGGAGCAAACGGG
rnacentral:rRNA from 1 species